GACGAACGCUGGCGGCGUGCUUAACACAUGCAAGUCGAACGGUAAGGCCCUUCGGGGUACACGAGUGGCGAACGGGUGAGUAACACGUGGGUGAUCUGCCCUGCACUUCGGGAUAAGCCUGGGAAACUGGGUCUAAUACCGGAUAGGACUCCGGACUGCAUGGUCUGGGGUGGAAAGCUUUUGCGGUGUGGGAUGGGCCCGCGGCCUAUCAGCUUGUUGGUGGGGUGAUGGCCUACCAAGGCGACGACGGGUAGCCGGCCUGAGAGGGUGACCGGCCACACUGGGACUGCGAUACGGCCCAGACUCCUACGGGAGGCAGCAGUGGGGAAUAUUGCACAAUGGGCGCAAGCCUGAUGCAGCGACGCCGCGUGAGGGAUGACGGCCUUCGGGUUGUAAACCUCUUUCAGCAUCGACGAAGCGAAAGUGACGGUAGGUGUAGAAGAAGGACCGGCCAACUACGUGCCAGCCGCCGCGGUAA
rnacentral:rRNA from 1 species